CGCGUAGGCGGCUUUAUAAGUCUGGAGUGAAAGUCCUCUUUUCAAGGGAGGAAUUGCUUUGGAAACUAUAAAGCUUGAGUGCAGGAGAGGUUAUCGGAAUUCCCGGUGUAGCGGUGAAAUGCGUAGAUAUCGGGAGGAACAUCGGUGGCGAAGGCGGGUAACUGGACUGCAACUGACGCUGAGGCGCGAAAGUGUGGGGAGCAAACAG
rnacentral:rRNA from 1 species